GUUAGGGGAGUGAAAUAGUACCUGAAACCGUAUACCUACAAGCAGUGGGAGGGCUAUGCCCCGUAAGGGGAAUGCCUGACCGCGUGCCUUUUGCAUAAUGAGCCGGCUAGUUAUUCUCAGUGGCGAGGUUAAGCGUAAGCGAGCCGUAGCGAAAGCGAGUCCGAAAUGGGCGUCCAGUCGCUGGGAAUAGACGCGAAGCGAGGUGAUCUACCCUUGGCCAGGAUGAAGUACGGGUAACACCGUAUGGAGGUCCGAACCGGUGUUGGUUGAAAACAGCUCGGAUGAGCUGAGGGUAGGGGUGAAAGGCUAAUCAAACUUGGAGAUAGCUCGUACUCCCCGAAAUGCAUUUAGGUGCAGCGUCGAGGCAGUUUAUAACAGGUAGAGCGACUGAUUGGAUGCGAGGGCUUCACCGCCUAUCAAGUCCUGAUAAACUCCGAAUGGUUAUAAAUGUUCCUCGGCAGUGAGGGCGCGGGUGCUAAGGUCCACGUCCGAGAGGAGAAUAAUCCAGACCAUCAGCUAAGGUCCCCAAAUAUACAUUAAGUUGCAUUAACGAAGUCGAACUGCCCAGACAGCUAGGAUGUUGGCUUGGAAGCAGCCAUUCAUUUAAAGAGUGCGUAACAGCUCACUAGUCGAGCGGUUUGGCGUGGAUAAUAAUCGGGCAUAAAUGUAUUACCGAAGCUAUGGAACACCGCAGAUGCGGUGUUGGUAGGGGAGCAUUCCAUCACAGCGUCGAAGGUUUAAGAUAACUUAGACUGGAGCGGAUGGAAAAGCAAAUGUAGGUAUAAGUAACGAUAAGGAGGGCGAGAAACCCUCCCGCCGGAAGACUAAGGUUUCCUGAUCAACGCUAAUCGGAUCAGGGUUAGUCGGGGCCUAAGGUGUAGCCGAAUGGCGUAGCCGAUGGACGAACAGGUUAAUAUUCCUGUACUACUUUAUAGAGCGACGUGGGGACGGAGCAGUGAAAGUUCUGCGCACUGACGGAAUAGUGCGUUGAAGGGUGUAGAUAUUGAGAGGCGUAGGCAAAUCCGCGCUUUGAGUCGAACCUGAUAGUACCAAGCGCACUUGUGCAAUUGGAUAUGAAUGUAAACAGACUCCCAAGAAAAUCCGCUAAGCAUUAAUUUAUAGAGUACCCGUACCACAAACGGACACACGUGGUCAAGUAUAGCGUACUAAGGCGCUCGAGUGAUUCACAGCUAAGGAACUAGGCAAAAUAACCCCGUAACUUCGGGAGAAGGGGUGCUCCGUGUAAAAGUGGAGCCGCAGAGAAAUGGCCCAGGCGACUGUUUAACAAAAACAUAGGGCUUUGCAAAAUCGCGAGAUGAGGUAUAAGGCCUGACACCUGCCCGGUGCUGGAAGGUUAAGAGGAGAUGUUAGAGCAAUCGAAGCAUUGAAUUGAAGCCCCAGUAAACGGCGGCCGUAACUAUAACGGUCCUAAGGUAGCGAAAUUCCUUGUCGGGUAAGUUCCGACCUGCACGAAUGGUGUAACGAUCUGGGCACUGUCUCAGCCAUGAGCUCGGUGAAAUUGUAGUAUCGGUGAAGAUGCCGAUUACCCGCAACGGGACGGAAAGACCCCGUGAACCU
rnacentral:rRNA from 1 species